rnacentral:rRNA from 1 species
AACGAACGCUGGCGGCAUGCCUAACACAUGCAAGUCGAACGAGACCUUCGGGUCUAGUGGCGCACGGGUGCGUAACGCGUGGGAACCUGCCCUUAGGUUUGGAAUAACUCCCCGAAUGGGGUGCUAAUACCGGAUAAUAUCUCCGGACCAAAGAUUUAUCGCCUUUGGAUGGGCCCGCGUUGGAUUAGCUAGUUGGUAGGGUAAAAGCCUACCAAGGCGACGAUCCAUAGCUGGUCUGAGAGGAUGAUCAGCCACAUUGGGAGUGAGACACGGCCCAGACUCCUACGGGAGGCAGCAGUGGGGAAUAUUGGACAAUGGGCGAAGGCAUGAUCCAGCAAUGCCGCGUGAGUGAUGAAGGCCUUAGGGUUGUAAAGCUCUUUUACCCGGGAUGAUAAUGACAGUACCGGGAGAAUAAGCUCCGGCUAACUCCGUG